rnacentral:lncRNA from 1 species
GACUCCUGAUUAGUCCACAGGGUGUCACUCUGCUUUAUAAUGGUUGCCUCAUGGUUACUAGAGAAACUACUCUCUGAGAGGGAUCCGGUUUCAGACACCUUGAAUGGGCAAAUGGAGACUAAUAGGCACUGUCCUCCACUGCUUCCAUUUGUGGUCUUUUCGACACGUUUCUAUAUCCCUAGGUCUGGAAUGGAGUCUAUGACCUAUGUGAGGAGAGUAUGAAAAUAACAAAUAGAGACCCUGUAGCCUAAGGAUCAAGAUUCUAGUUAUCCUCAUAGUCCAGAGGGUCGGACAAGAGGACCAGAAGUUCAAAGUCAUCUUCUGCUGCAUAAAUCUGAGGCUAAGCUAGCUCCAUGAGACCUUGCCUCAGAACCCCAAAGAGACCUUUUCAACCUAGCUUCUUUGGGCCUAUAUGGUGGAGGUGGCCGCAACCAAGAGAAAACGAUAUAUAGAGAAUGGUGUUGGCUUUGUUCUGGCAAAACAGAGCUUCUCACUGCAGAUUCAGACAAAGGCCAGAAGAUAAUGGUGGUGCUCCUGAAUAGAGGUCCCCUGGUUCAAACGUCCAUCUACUGGAACAAGGUCAAUGAUCCUCCAGGGACUCUCAACUCCCUAUCUACGCACUCUCUACAGCAAAACAUCCUGUGCUUGGGAAAGUCUGAGCUGAACCCAGCUCCUGUGGCUUCUGCUCAAUCUUAGUUCCUUGUUUGCAAGAAUGAGAGGCAAACAGCAAGCCUU